AAAAGGUUUAACUUGUCACCACGUCAAAGCUGCAAGUACUCUCGCACAGACUAACAUGAAUAAAUCAUUGUUGAUAAUAUUGAUGGUGGGCUGUAUAACCAUGUUGGUUCUUCCAGAUGCUGCACACGCUCAGUUCUCAGGUGCUAGAAGACGUUGCUACUGUCGACAUCAAUGCCACUUCGGAGACUAUUACAUUCGAAACUGCGGUUUGGGAAGACGACUUUGUUGUAGACAACAUUUUGGAUGACAGCACGUCGACACAUAAAUGUAAAGAGUAGUGACGAGUAUGAAAUUAUUCUUCUCGAUUCUUUGUCCAAUGGGGAUCUAUUACAUAUAGAAAUAUUUGGAUACUU